AAACAAUCCGCAGUCCAAAUGAUCAACAUAUUUGCCAGGAAGAUUAGCUGGAAGAGGGAUCGUCGAUCGUCCAAUACUCUUGUCUUUUCAUUAUGAGGAAGAUUUACACUUUCCUGAUCUUGAGCAUCGUAGCCGUGUCGUGCCUAGCACACCCGCAUCCGAACGCCGACCCUCAGUUCGGUGGCUUUGGCUUCGGCGGCAACUUUUACGGAGGAUUCAGACACAGAUAUCCCUACGGCUACGGUUAUGGGGGCUUCCCAUAUCGACGGCCUUUCUUCUUCAACAGAUACCCCGGUUUUCGACCUCCCCACGUUCACCUUCACAAUCAUUUCCCCUGACAUUGAGGUCAGCUGAGGUUACGGACGAUUCGAAAAGGAUUACAGUUUAUUUUUUUAGCGAUAUUUUCCUAUGGGUUUAAGACUCGACAACCUUCACUUAACUACUGAAUAACUUGGUUUUACUAAACGGACAUGGGAAGGUUUAUUUAAGGAAAGGCUUAUUAAACUGUUACUGCUCAAGAGGAGGGUUUAUCAAAUUACUUAAUGCUUAAAAAUGAAUGGUUUAUUAAACUGCUAAUUAAAGGAAAGGUUUAUGAAAGAAAUGGUUUAUUUAACUGUUAAUGCUUCAUGAAAGAUGUUUCAAACUGCAAAUACUUAAACAAAUGUCAAUGCUUAAGGAAAGGUUUAUCAAACUUUAAAUGCUUAAAAAAGUUUUUAAGGCUUAAACGAAAGGUAUAUCAACUGUAAAUGCUUAAAAAAUUAUUAAUGCCUAAAAGGAAAGAUUUAUCAAACUGUAAUUGCAUAAAAUUUAAGGUUUAUCAAACUGUAAAUGCUUAAAAGGAAAGGUUUACUAAAUUAAAGGUUUAUCUAACUGUAAAUGCUAAAAAGAGGCUAAUUUGGGAAUGUAAGGAACUGGAAAUUAAAGGCCUGAAAUACAAAUAAACAUCUUGACCCAG